UACCAUAUUUGAGAAAGAAGAGUUUCCAAGCCAGCCUGGAAACGUUGUACCCCGUAACCAGUAAUGGCAAGCUGUUUCACAUUUUCAGAAGGCUCCAAUUUCUCAAGUACUUCUCUCUCGUGUGGUGUGUCAUCCGUAUUGCCAUCCCACGUCAACCCCAACUCCUCAAUCUUCUUCUUACCCUUCAAAUCGGCAUCCAAAGCAUCUUGAGCAUUUGCAACAUCUCUGAGAUUCCGAAUAGAAAGUUUUUUCCUUAUAUGUGAGAGCUUCCCCAACUCUUUCAUGCUAGACCCGCUAUCUUUUCCCACGAUGUAAGAUUCCAAAAUUCGAAGCUUCGUGAGUUUCCCCAUUUUUGGUGGCAUCUCUUUCAAAUUUGUCCCUUCAAUAUCAAGAUGUUGUAAGUCGACCAAGUUGGAAAGGUUGGAUGGCAACUCCAUGAGAUGUCGGCACUCUUUAACAAUAAGCUUUGCAAAUAGUACAAGGUGCACACACUUUCAGGUAACCUUUCAAUGGCGGUGCAAGAAAGGUCCAAGUGCCGCAAAUGUUUUCAAGUUGCCAAUGGAAUUGAGCAACUGAGAAGAAAUAUCUUUUAGAUGAAUAAAGAUAGCAUUCGCAAGCGCUUAAGAUUUGGCAAGAUGUCAUUCAGUGCCUCAUAUCACUUCCCUUAAAAACAUAGUGGAAACAAGGCGCGCAAAUGUUGGACUCCAUGAAUGCUACGAAAUAUCCGAAGUCCUCGUCAUAUGCUCCUGAAGUGAUUGAUAAAUAACGAGUCCUUUCUGGAAGCGAGCAUGAAUGUUCACCCUCCAACCCAGAGCCCGAUUCAUUAAUACCAAGCUUAAAGCAAAAUUCUCCUGACACGUAUUCAGCUAAAUCACUUAUGAUGUCAUGCAUGCUGAAAUCUGAUUGAACAUGAAGUGAUUGCUGGAAAAGUGACCUGGAGACAAGAUCAUCAAAGUAUUUUUCACCUAUAUCUUCCAUCUCCUCAACUCCUCUGGACUGGCCUAAAAAACCAUGUGCCAUCCAUUCAGUGAUUAAUCCAUUUUUCUUGAAUACAUAACUCUUGGGAAAUAUUGCACAAUAAACAAAACAACGUUUCAGGUGUGAAGGGAGAUAAUAAUAGCUCAAUGUUAGAGCUGGAGGGAUGUUUUCAUUCGACAAUCCCCACAAACUGCUAUUGGAUAUCUUCUCCCAUUGCCUGACAUCUCCUACGGAGUGCAAAAGACCCCCAAGAGUUUUCGCUGCCAGCGGUAAACCUUUGCACUUUCUCGCUAUUUCUCUGCCAAAUGCUUCCAAGUGUGAGACUGCUCCAGAAUUUACACCACUAAAUGCAUCCCUUGCAAACAAUUUCCAGCAAUCUUCAUCGCUUAUUACAUCCAAGCGGUGAGAGGGGAUGACUGUUUGCGUGACUUUUGCUACAUCUUCAUUCCGUGUUGUCACGACAAUCUUACUUCCGUGCUCCACAUACAGCAAAGGUAGCAGUAGUUUAUCCCAUUCAUUGUACUUAAUGUUCCACGCGUCAUCUAGAACAAGUAGAAGUUUCUUCCCUUUCACUGCCUCCAUUAGAGAUUCAUCUGGUUCUUUGGUGCGGCAAGUACUUGCGUUGAUCUUAUCAAGAAUAUCCUUAAUAAUCCUGGCAACAUCAAAUUGUUGGAAGCCCAGACCCAGGCUUUGAGCUCGAAGCACUCAUCUAUCGUUGUAGAUAAGCUGAGCAAGAGUGGUUUUACCAAUCCCGCCCAUGCCCACAAUGGAACGCACAACUAAAUUUGAGCCAUCUGUGUUGUGUUGUGUCAACAAGUGCUCCAUUAUGGCUUCCUUAUCAGCGUCCCUUCCAUAUACAUAGAGAUUCAUUAACCAGUGGAGUUGUUUUCUCUGACAAUGGUCUCCAUCCACCAGUACCUUCUAUGUGGCGCAGAUCACCCUUGUGUUUAAGUAAACGUUCAAGCUUCUCAAGGAUCUUUUGUAACUCUGCUUCCAUCUCUUUCAUCCUUCUAUUAGCUGGAUUUAGAAAUGGAAACCGAUCCUUACCUGCAAUGGUGGACUAAAUAUGUGAGAUAGAAUUCAGGAAAACAUUAUAAUUUAUAAUAUCAAAACAUAAACAUUAAGAUUUUUACAUCUAGUGAAUUAAUAAGUUAAUACCAUUAAAUUGUUGAUGCUAUAAACAUUAAGAUUUUUACAUCUAGUGAAUUAAUAAGUUAAUGCCAUUAAAUUGUUGAUGCUAGCUUAACGUAAUUAAGCAGUGAAAGUCAAGUUUUAAAAAGAUAUUGAUUCAAUGCCAUAAGUGAUUUUCAUAGCCCUUACUAUAUAAUAUUAUUUAUAUAUAUAUAAUGAAAUUAAUUUUUUUUCUAAAAUAAAAAUGGAAAAAUAAUUGUUUAGCAAUUAAAAAGUAAAGUAUUUAUUUUUCAUAUUUAAAAUAAAGAUAUGAGCCUUUCAUGUAUAAAACAUCAUUCCAAUUUCUAAUUGUGCUAACAAAAAAUCAAUGCAUAAUUCUUGGUGAUUAUUAUAUAUAAUUACUAAGAAAUUUAAUAUUUAUAAUAAUGGGUUUUGAAUCUCGUAAGUCCUAACUAUUCAUCACUAAAAAUAUUGAAAGACAAUUCAAUUUUAUAUCCCUUAUAUUUUCAUAAAAAAGUAAGAGUCAUUCAUGUUCUCAUAAAAAUAUAUAUAAUUUAAUUGACAAAAUUUAUAUAAAUAAUUCAGAUUUUAAAAAUAUAGCAUUUUGGAUUUUAAAAAAAACAAACAAACAAAUAGAGGGAUCAAUACAAACAUUUUAUGAGGAAGCAAGGUCUCUAGGUGCAAGAACUUAUGCUUACCCAAUUGCUGUCAGGUCGAGGGGCAUCAAUGUCCUUGGAUCGUAGAUAUUCAUAAUCAAUCUCCUCCGAUAUGUCCUCAGCUUCAUAGACAGCGUGUUUAACAUCAUUAAGCCACUUCUUCACAGCACGAUUUGUAAUCUGCUUCUCCUCCGCAUCGUCGAGUAGUCCGUUGACAGUAUUCAGUGUUUCAUUCAGCUUUUCCAGAAGACCAUCAUCGAGUUUGUGGCUUUGGAAGAAGCCCAGAACCUCACGAGAGGCCAACCUGUCGACCAGAACCUCAAUGAGAGCAGAGAGAAUUGAUCCUCCGAUCAACUCCAGAGACAUGGUGGAUUUUUGCAGAAGGGUGAGGGUGGGAAUAUGUGAGAGAAAAGGAGUUGUGGAAAGCAGGAGCCUUGGUGGAUUUUUGCUAAAGGGUGAGAGAGUGAUUAUGUGAGAGAGAAUGAUAAGCCAAAUAGAAAACCCGAGGAAGCCGGCUUCGAGUGUGUUUGUCCUUGACGCAGUGUAUGCGUUUUCUCUCAAUGUAUAGAAAUGAUGGGCCCACUGCCCAAGGUUGGAACUUGGAUAUGAAAAAGAUUUUUUUUUUUCUGCUUUUUACAUGCUGGAUCACAGGUUAAACCUUCUUGAUCUGCUAAAAAAAACAUUCAAAAAUUAUCUUUGCAUCCUUUUUCUUUCUCCUAUCAUUCAUUACAAUUGCUUGUCUUUCUUUGAACAAUACAAUUGCCCAGAAAAUUCUGGUUUUGCUAUCAACAUGAUACAAUAGCAAUGAACAAGUCUAUUUCAUUAAAAAUUCAGAUUUGUAAUUUACUCGUAAACUAGUCGACUUAUCAGGUCAACCUGAAACUUGAAUGACUCGGUAAAAUACUAGUAAAGACCAUUUUCUUCAAAUGUAUUUUUUUCUCCUAUCUAGGAACCUUUUAUAUAUUUUAUUUUUUUUAUUUAGUUACUCAUUUCAAAAUUCACUAUAUAAAUAUUAGAAGAAUAUUUUAUUUUUUUAAUGUGAUAUUUUGAAGCCCUUUAAUAUAUAUACUUUAUGUUCUUCAAAAAAAAAUUAUGUUUUUUCAAAUGUAGAAUAAAAAACCUUUUUUGUUUAAAUACUUCAACUUAAAAAAAUAAGAUAGUAUAUUUUCAAAGUAGAAUAAAAAAUCUUUUGAAAUAAUCUUUUAAACUUAAUUGCUUACAACAUGUAUAGCCUAUAUCCAUAUAGAUUAUUUUUUAUUUUUUUAUAUAAAAUAUUAAAACCUCAUAUUUUUUUAAUUUUUCCUGAUUGACCCGAGUCAACCCAUGUAAACUAGGACCUAGCCCCUUAGUCGGGUUAAUCCUUAGGCUGAGUUUGAUAACCAUGAUUGUCAUGAGAAUACAACUUUAAAAAUGCAAUUAAAAAGAAAUAAAGUGAUGUGAACAGUUAAAAAAUCAAAUAAAUAGAUAAAACCUUUUCUUUUUUAUUUUAUUAAGGGCCUCUUUUAAUUAUUUUUUUUAUUAUGUGUUUAGAGAUAAAUUUAUGGACACUAAAAUCAACAUUUUUUAUUCUUGAAAUACAACUCACCAAAAUACCUUUUUAUAUAUAUCUAACGACUUUCUAUUUAUACUCAUGACAUCAAAAAAUUGAAAUACGAGGAGAAUGAAGUUUUAGAAUUAAAUAUAAAUAGCUAAAACUACAAGAAUAAAAGAAAAAACUUUAGGAACCCAAAUGAACUUUUAUGAGAAUUUCAAGGAUCAAAACUCAAUAUUCAGAUAGUAAAACGAGUGGGAAAUGAAGUUUAAAACUAAAAUGUAAACACAUAAAACUACUAGGAUUAAAAAUAUUUUUUUAAAAAACUUCAUUUGGUAUUACUCUUAGAACGUAAUUGGUACAAGGCUUAAAAAUAUGGGUGAAAUUAUCACAUAAAUAAUAAUUAUUAUUAUAAGAGCAAAUUUAAAAAGUGUAAAUGUUGGUUUUUAAAAAUGACUGAUGUAUUUGAACAGUUAAAUACUUGUGAAAAAAAGAGAGAAUAAUUUAAUAAUUAACUUCAACUUUUCCAUUAAUUAAUUAAGAUCUAAAAAAUCCAAAAAUUAUAAGUUUCUAAUAUAAAGUUAAAAAAUUUACAUAUAUAUAAAAAAGAUAUUUCAUAAAAUUCUAUUUUUUUUUAAUAAUUCACAGAAACUCAAUGCAAGACUUCAUAUGUUGAAUCUUCUCAUUAUCAACACUUUCAAAUAUAUCUUUUUUGAUAUAAGUAACCAAACAAUCAUUAAAUAAAUUAUCCCCAACUCGAUUGUGUAAUCGACUUUUGACUAAUUUCAACGUUGAAAAUAUUCUCUUUACUGAUGCAAUAACCACGCGUAAAAUUAAUGCUAAAUUUAUCACGUAAUAUAUGUUAUUUAUUAAAUUUAUUACUUAUAUAUUAAAAUGUAUGGGAUUUUCACCGUGUAUUUGUUAUUAUACAAUUUUUUUUUUCAGUUUAUCCAUGACAACUAGAGUGCCGAGCUCAAAAUGCUAGGGUCUGACAUAGUACCCGACCUAAUUACCAAACCCUAGAUUUGGUAACUAUGCAAGACCCAAGCAUCCCUUGCAAACAACUCCCAGCAAUAUUCAUAGCUUAUUGCAUUCAAGCGGUGAAAGGGGAUGACAGUUUGCGUGACUUUUGCUACAUCUUCUUCCCGUGUUGUCACGACAAUCUUACUUCCGUGCUCCACAUACCGCAAAGGUAGCAGUAGUUUAUCCCAUUCAUUGUACUUGAUGUUCCACGCGUCAUCUAGAACAGGUAGAAGUUUUUUCCCUUUCACUGCCUCCAUUAGAGAUUCAUCUGGUUCUUUGGUGCGGCAUGUACUUGCGUUGAUCUUAUCAAGAAUAUCCUGAAUAAUCCUGGCAACAUCAAAAUAGAUAACAACUACUGUAUAAAUAAUAAUUUUUAAAAUUUUUAAUUGAAAUCUAUUUUUUAAUCUAAUUAUUGGACACAUAUGAACAUUUUGACUCAUAAUUAAUUUUUUUAAAAAAAAUUCAUAAAAUUAUAAUUUUUAUGUGAAAUAAUCCACUGUUUAAUACAAUAAACUUCAAUUAAAUGACCAAUUAAGCUAGAUGAUUGAACUUUCAAUUAAUUUGUUAACUUGCGCUAACAUUUACCAAUGUUACUGUUUGAAAAUGUAAAAGUAAGCUAUUUCACUAAAAAAAAAUUUCGGUCUAGCAUCACUAAGCCACCUCUGCACAGCAGGCUUGGUAAUCUGUUUCUCCUCCGCGUCGUCGAGAAGUCCGUUGAGAGUAUUCAGUGUUUCUUUCAACUUUCCGAGAAGACCAUCAUUGAGCUUGUGGCUUUCGUCUCAUUUGCCCUGAAACCAAGCAUACGUUGUGGAAUUGAAAAGUAAGCAAGAGUUGCAAUAAAUCUCGUAAGUUAUGGAUUGAUUUGGUUCUACGAGGAUUAAUAUCACAACCAGCUUUGAAAAGCGAUAUGUUUUUGAUUUUUUGUUGUUUUUUUUAAAUGUUUUUUAAUUAAAAAUAUAUUAAAAUAAUAUUUUUUAUUUAUUAAUUAAAAAUAAAUUAUUUAAAAUAAAGAAAACAAUUAAAUUUUUUUUAAAAAAAAAAUUUAAAAUGUAAAAAUAAACAGCCUUGAAGAAGGUUUUUGAGAGUAUAGUAAUACUUGCUUUUAAAAAAAAAAAUUUGCUUAUGUGUGAGAGCUUCCCCAGCUCUUUCAUGCUAGACCCGCUCUCUUUUCCCACAAUGUAAUAUUCCAAAUAUCGAAGCUUUGUGAGUUUCGUUAUUUUUGGUGGCAUCUCUUCCAAAUUUGUCCCUUCAAUAUCAAGAUAUUGUAGGUUGACCAAGUUGGAAAUGUUGGAUGGCAACUCCAUGAGAUGUCGGCACUCUCUUAACAAUAGAGUUUGCAAAUAGUACAAGGUGCUCACACUUUCAGGUAACCUUUCAGUGGCGGUACAAGAAAGGUCCAAGUGCCGCAAAUGUUUUAAGUUGCCAAUGGAAUUGAGCAACUGAGAAGAAA
rnacentral:lncRNA from 1 species